rnacentral:rRNA from 1 species
AUUGAACGCUGGCGGCAGGCCUAACACAUGCAAGUCGAGCGGAUGAAGGGAGCUUGCUCCUGGAUUCAGCGGCGGACGGGUGAGUAAUGCCUAGGAAUCUGCCUGGUAGUGGGGGAUAACGUCCUGAAACGGGCGCUAAUACCGCCUACGUCCUGCGGGAGCAAGUGGGGGAUGUUCGGACCUCACGCUAUCAGAUGAGCCUAGGUCGGAUUAGCUAGUUGGUGGGGUAAAGGCCUACCAAGGCGACGAUCCGUAACUGGUCUGAGAGGAUGAUCAGUCACACUGGAGCUGAGACACGGUCCAGGGUCCUACGGGAGGGAGCAGUGGGGAAUAGUGGACAAUGGGCGAAAGUCUGAUCCAGCCAUGCCGCGUGUGUGAAGAAGGUCUUCGGAGUGUAAAGCACUUUAAGUUGGGAGGAAGGGCAGUCAGUUAAGACCUUGCUGGUUUGACGUUACCAACAGAAUAAGCACCGGCUAACUACGUG